UACGAAGGGGGCUAGCGUUGCUCGGAAUUACUGGGCGUAAAGGGCGCGUAGGCGGCGCCGUCGGUCAGGCGUGAAAUUCCUGGGCUUAACCUGGGGGCUGCGCUUGAUACAGCGGUGCUUGAGGGCAGAAGAGGCUCGCGGAAUUCCCAGUGUAGAGGUGAAAUUCGUAGAUAUUGGGAAGAACACCGGUGGCGAAGGCGGCGAGCUGGUCUGUUACUGACGCUGAGGCGCGACAGCGUGGGGAGCAAAC
rnacentral:rRNA from 1 species